rnacentral:rRNA from 1 species
GACGAACGCUGGCGGCGUGCCUAAUACAUGCAAGUAGAACGCUGAAGCGAGGAGCUUGCUCUUCUUGGAUGAGUUGCGAACGGGUGAGUAACGCGUAGGUAACCUGCCUCGUAGCGGGGGAUAACUAUUGGAAACGAUAGCUAAUACCGCAUAACAAUAGGUGACACAUGUCAUUUAUUUGAAAGGGGCAAUUGCCCCACUACAAGAUGGACCUGCGUUGUAUUAGCUAGUAGGUGAGGUAACGGCUCACCUAGGCGACGAUACAUAGCCGACCUGAGAGGGUGAUCGGCCACACUGGGACUGAGACACGGCCCAGACUCCUACGGGAGGCAGCAGUAGGGAAUCUUCGGCAAUGGGGGCAACCCUGACCGAGCAACGCCGCGUGAGUGAAGAAGGUUUUCGGAUCGUAAAGCUCUGUUGUAAGUCAAGAACGAGUGUGAGAGUGGAAAGUUCACACUGUGACGGUAGCUUACCAGAAAGGGACGGCUAACUACGUG